GAACCAUGAAGACCACAGGAGGCAGCUUACAGUCAAAAUUAUGGAACCUAUAAUCCACGUCCCUAACUUGGCAGUUGAAGGCACCAUGUUGAGGAACGCACAUGAGAACGUGGCUGACGUAUAUUCAAGUCCGAGAAGGAAUAGGUUUUGUGGAACUGUUACUCUGAAAAGCAUUAAUAAGCCAAAAACAAGAUGUCAAAUCUUGGGAAAAGAAAGAUAGCAGAAAGGUGUAAGAUGCUGUCUCACUGGAAUGCAAAUUGCAGAAUGUGAAAAGAGGUUUGUGGUGUAUUUUUUUACUUUCAUUGAUCAAUAUAUCAUUUAUUAGAUACAUUCUUAUUCAAGUCAAGUAGAAUCAUUGUGAAAAAUAAAGGUUUCUCGUGAAUAUUUAAUUUAACUAAACAUAUAGAAUUCGAGACCAUGAGAAAGUUAAAAUAACAUUAUGUGAAUCGAUUCCCAUGUUCAGUUAUUUGUAU